UCCCUCCAUCAUGCCUGAUGGGCUGAGAUGUCUGCUGAGAUGAUUAGCAAGGACACAGGUGGAGGAGAAGGGAUGAUUUUUUUUUUUUUUUUUUUUCUGUUCUCUGGCUUUUCAGGAAAUGUGGCGAGUGACAGGACCUUAGGAGACAUCCAUCCUGAUGCACAUUUCCACGUUCAGAUGUGCCCUACAACUCAGCAUCCUUGUUUUUUCCCAGAUUAGCGACAAAAUGGGACAGAGAGACACCUGAAAAAUAAAGCUGAUUUCCUCCUCUCGUAGCCACGGCGGAUGCGGAGAACAAUAGGUACUAUGCCUGCUCUGCCCACCCGUUGUGACGGGGACUCUUAUCCUGCUUCCUUAGCCCUGGUGCCCAGACCUCCCCUGGAAAUGGGGCAGUGAAUGAAGCAAAUGAAGCAAAUUCAGAGAACCCACCCAAGGGGAAAAAAAAAGCCACUCCAAAGAAGUGAUUUGGAAAAUAACUUUGCAAAGGAAUGAUGGAAAGCAGCAACUGAAUGAAGAAUGAUGUUUACAGGACAGAGAAAUACACAUAGAUAUCCAGAGCACAACUUUUAUAAAAUUAAUAGAAAUAGAAGAAUCUCAUCACUGGCAUUUCUGUGAGCAUCAGGAGUCAAGAAGCAGCUGAGAGUGACCAAGAGGGCAGAGGAGAAUCAUGACCAAGCUUCGUGUGUUGUGCUGCCCUGAGCUGAGAAAGGAAGAUGCUGCUCAGGGAAACUGCAGCUGAAGGAGCCCUUUGCAGGGCAGAGAACCUGCUUUGGAGACCCAACCAGGGAUGCAAAGCUGCUUAUUGCGAAAGACGCAGCUGAAUGUAUCCAAUUAUCACUCUGUCUCUGGGAAAGAAAAUAUCAGUGGCCCUCAUGACCCCAUGAUAUCAGUGAAGAGGGGACAGAUAUUGCAGUGGAGAAGACAGGAUCUGCCCAUCGUGGUGGGAUUUCUGACUGCCUGCAGCCGUGGCCUAUCAGUUUGA
rnacentral:lncRNA from 1 species